rnacentral:rRNA from 1 species
UACGUAGGGUGCGAGCGUUGUCCGGAUUUAUUGGGCGUAAAGAGCUCGUAGGCGGCUUGUCGCGUCGGAUGUGAAAGCCCGGGGCUUAACUCCGGGUCUGCAUUCGAUACGGGCAGGCUAGAGUUCGGUAGGGGAGUCUGGAAUUCCUGGUGUAGCGGUGAAAUGCGCAGAUAUCAGGAGGAACACCGGUGGCGAAGGCGGGACUCUGGGCCGAUACUGACGCUGAGGAGCGAAAGCGUGGGGAGCGAACAGG